rnacentral:rRNA from 1 species
UAUGUGAUCGUCUCUCGCAUAUCAAUAAGCGGAGGAAAAGAAACUAACAAGGAUUCCCCUAGUAACGGCGAGUGAAGCGGGAAGAGCUCAAAUUUGAAAUCUUAAAGGGUUUCCCUUUACGAAUUGUAGUUUAAAGAAGUGUUUUCUGUUGAGGUUUUGGUAAAAGUUCUUUGGAAUAGGACAUCAUAGAGGGUGAGAAUCCCGUAUUUGACCUUUACUUUCAACUUUGUGAUACACUUUCAAAGAGUCGGAUUGUUUGGGAAUGCAGUCCAAAAUGGGUGGUAAAUUUCAUCUAAAGCUAAAUAUUGGCGAGAGACCGAUAGCGAACAAGUACCGUGAGGGAAAGAUGAAAAGAACUUUGAAAAGAGAGUUAAACAGUACGUGAAAUUGUCAAAAGGGAAGCGUUUGACACCAGUGUUGUUUUUCUGAAAAUCAAUUAAAGAACUGUUUAUGCUAAGCUGUUUAGACUUUAUCAGCUAUCUGUUUAGUUUUGAGCUUUUCUUUAAUGCACUUUUCAGUUAACAAGUCAACAUCAAUUUCUUUUGCUGUAAAAAAGCUUGAGGAAGGUGGCUUGAGAUUCGUCUUAAGUGUUUAUAGCCUCUUGCCUAUGCAGUCGGAGAGAUUGAGGUCUGCAGCGUAGAUCCUUCGGGGCUAAAUGCAUUUGUGCUAAGUUAUAGCAUUUUAUAGACAACUUGUUGACUAUGAUUUGUCUUGUAGCUUACUCGCUUAUGUUAUUUUACCUACGCUUAGGAUGUUGACUGAUAUGUAGUCGU